GAAGUACUCACUGAUGGCCUA
rnacentral:siRNA from 1 species